rnacentral:rRNA from 1 species
GAUGAACGCUGGCGGCGUGCCUAAUACAUGCGAGUCGAGCGAACGGACGAGAAGCUUGCUUCUCUGAUGUUAGCGGCGGACGGGUGAGUAACACGUGGAUAACCUACCUAUAAGACUGGGAUAACUUCGGGAAACCGGAGCUAAUACCGGAUAAUAUUUUGAACCGCAUGGUUCAAAAGUGAAAGACGGUCUUGCUGUCACUUAUAGAUGGAUCCGCGCUGCAUUAGCUAGUUGGUAAGGUAACGGCUUACCAAGGCAACGAUGCAUAGCCGACCUGAGAGGGUGAUCGGCCACACUGGAACUGAGACACGGUCCAGACUCCUACGGGAGGCAGCAGUAGGGAAUCUUCCGCAAUGGGCGAAAGCCUGACGGAGCAACGCCGCGUGAGUGAUGAAGGUCUUCGGAUCGUAAGACUCUGUUAUUAGGGAAGAACAUAUGUGUAAGUAACUGUGCACAUCUUGACGGUACCUAAUCAGAAAGCCACGGCUAACUACGUGCCAGCAGCCGCGGUAAUACGUAGGUGGCAAGCGUUAUCCGGAAUUAUUGGGCGUAAAGCGCGCGUAGGCGGUUUUUUAAGUCUGAUGUGAAAGCCCGCGGCUCAACCGUGGAGGGUCAUUGGAAACUGGAAAACUUGAGUGCAGAAGAGGAAAGUGGAAUUCCAUGUGUAGCGGUGAAAUGCGCAGAGAUAUGGAGGAACACCAGUGGCGAAGGCGACUUUCUGGUCUGUAACUGACGCUGAUGUGCGAAAGCGUGGGGAUCAAACAGGAUUAGAUACCCUGGUAGUCCACGCCGUAAACGAUGAGUGCUAAGUGUUAGGGGGUUUCCGCCCCUUAGUGCUGCAGCUAACGCAUUAAGCACUCCGCCUGGGGAGUACGACCGCAAGGUUGAAGCUCAAAGGAAUUGACGGGGACCCGCACAAGCGGUGGAGCAUGUGGUUUAAUUCGAAGCAACGCGAAGAACCUUACCAAAUCUUGACAUCCUUUGACAACUCUAGAGAUAGAGCUUUCCCCUUCGGGGGACAAAGUGACAGGUGGUGCAUGGUUGUCGUCAGCUCGUGUCGUGAGAUGUUGGGUUAAGUCCCGCAACGAGCGCAACCCUUAAGCUUAGUUGCCAUCAUUAUGUUGGGCACUCUAAGUUGACUGCCGGUGACAAACCGGAGGAAGGUGGGGAUGACGUCAAAUCAUCAUGCCCCUUAUGAUUUGGGCUACACACGUGCUACAAUGGACAAUACAAAGGGCAGCGAAACCGCGAGGUCAAGCAAAUCCCAUAAAGUUGUUCUCAGUUCGGAUUGUAGUCUGCAACUCGACUACAUGAAGCUGGAAUCGCUAGUAAUCGUAGAUCAGCAUGCUACGGUGAAUACGUUCCCGGGUCU